rnacentral:lncRNA from 1 species
GUGCUUUAUACUUGAAGAUUUACAAGAUGAGUUGCAAAACCAGAUUGUGCCACAUGCUGGGAAUUAGCUUCUAUUUGCACCCCUCUUCUCUUGGACAUGGAUGAUGUGCAGCAUGGUAAAUCUGGUCAAGGCUCUGCAAAGAUCUGCCUCACUGCUGGUUCUCAUUUAGACUCGUAGAGAGUUCUGAAGUCCAUUCAGAGACCAAAGGAAGCACACUGUUGCUGGAAAAAGAGAGGAGAUUCAAAGACAAGGGGCUUCAUGAUGCUGUGAUUCUGUAUGAACACAAAGAAAGUGAGCUGAAAGGUUGUAAUGAAUGAACCAGUGCAGCAGUGACACUGUGCAUCCCUGGCAGCUGCCUUUUGGUGUAGGCUAAAGCAACUGAAGUGUCUGCUUUCACACUCAGGUGCUUUGAAGACAGACACUACAGAGCAUUCGCUCUCAGCUUUGGAGACAUGAACUGUCCUUUUGCUGGACAAAGGUAUGCAUACUAUUCUCUGUCAUAUUUAAACACAAAAAUAUUUUCACUU